CAAAAAUCCCCAAGUGCCCAAUCCUCCCCCAAAUCCUUAAGUCCCCUUCUUUGGCUCUCAGCUCGCCCUCGCUCGCUGCUCGCCCUCUCUGGCUCUCACCUCGCCCUGGCUUUCUUGCCGUCACCUCUCGCCCUCGCUCGCUGCUCGCUCUCUUUGGCUCUCUUGCCCUCGCUCUUGCGCCUCACUCGUUUCCUCGCUGAUGUGCUGAUGUAUUUUUCCGUUUUGCUGUGUUUUUUCUGUUCCGUUUUGUUGUUCUGUUCUUCUGUGUUUUGUUGUAUUUUUCUAUUCUGCUAGCAACAUCUUUUCUAUUUUUAUUGAUUUGUUGUGUUAAUUUCUUGCGGUUUUUAUCAUGCAUCAAUUUACUGCCUAAUGUCAUCCAUUAACUAAUUGUCGCUAUGCAAUUAUUUCAUUUUCUAUAAUGCUGAUACUACUUCCAGACUUUCAUGCAUCUUGCUCAUAAUAAACUAAUGUCUAAAUAAAAGAGGAAACAUAUAUUGUAUACUUUGGCUGAACCAUUGGGGGAGAGGGGAGUUGGAGGAGCGGGUUGAUCUCUACGGACCCAGAGUAAAAGAGGAAACAUCCAAUUAUUGCAAGAGCUUACCUUGUAAUUAUUCUUUUGAGGUGAAAAAACACUCAACUAUAUAUCAUAGGAUAGUUCGGUUGGUUUCUAUAAUCUUUCCUUGUAUUUUUUUGUUAAUAUGUAUUACAUCCUUUUAGUCUUUUUGAAAUUCUAUAUCAUGUUGACUAAUAUUAACUGCCGUGGCUAUGAGCUCUCUAUUUUAACAUUUAUUAACAAACUGUUUUCCUGCAAGGUUGAUGUUUCCAACAUAAUCAAUUAUUCUCUCGCAUAUUGGCCAAAGGUACCAUUUUAUAAGUUUUCUAGGGCAUGAAAAUAUAUGGAAGUUUCUUGUAUUGCAGUGAAUUUCUUUUACAAAACAUUAGUGUCUGAACUACAGGUCACUGACAAUCACACACAAAUUGUAUGUCUGCAUUGUUGCUUGAUUGUAUCCUUAUCCUCAACUUUAAAUCCAUAACUGCAUUGUUGCUUGAUUGUAUAAGCUCUCCUAAAGGAAAACAUGCCAUUUGUUCCUUAAAACAGGUCAUGUCAUGCAGAUUAGCAUCCACCAUUUUUAUAUUUGUAAUGCUGCCAAUCCUUUGCAGUAGCAUAAAUUGACAAAGAAGAAGAUAUUCAACCAUAGAUAUUCAAGGGUUUUGUUCAUUAUGCAUGGGCAAGUGUUCCCACAUACCCUAGUGGAGUGAUUGGAUUUCUGAUAUGCUCAAUGUGGAUUUUAUUCAUCCUAUCAAUCCUAUUAAAAAAGUAGAGAGAGGGCUGAAGUUUAGAAGAGAGCUGAGGUUUUACAACUCUGAGGAAGCAUUUGCUGUUGUGAGAGAGGCUUCAAAGAGGGUUCUUGGCAUUUGACCAUUUGAUGUGCAAUUGAUAGUACGAUGGAUAGGAAUUGGAUGCGAUUGGAUGAUAGACCAACAUUGUUCGAGGUUAAUGAAACAACAAGACUCUAAAGGAAACAACUACUGUCUUGGAGAACAUGAACAGUUUUAUGACUUUAUAGUGUUUUGUUGUCCAUUAGUUUUGAAUAGUAUAUACAAUUGACAAAGUGUUAGUUUUAGUUGAACAUAUUUUUUGGUGUAAUUUGUUAGCAAUUAACACUUAUAUAUAUACUACUUUUGGUGUGUAAAUGCUAAUGGAUAAUGAUUACUUUGGUGUUAUUUGAAUGACAUGUUU